rnacentral:lncRNA from 1 species
GGCCCUAGAACUAUUAUCGUAAUCUAUGAGACUUGUCAUAAUCUUAAUUAAGUCAUAAAUGAGAUAAUAAGAUAUAGCAUAUAACAAAAUAUAAUACCUCAUAUUAUAAAUAAAUAAUCAAUAUCGUAUAUAUUAAGAUAAAAUAAAAAAGUCUCAUCGCAUCAUCCAUGCGAUUGACUUAUUGGGCACUAUUUUUUUAGAGACCCCAUUAAGCCCUAGCUG